UACGAACCGUACAAACGUUAUUCGGAAUCACUGGGCUUAAAGGGUGCGUAGGCGGCCAUGUAAGUGAGGUGUGAAAUCCCUCGGCUCAACCGAGGAACUGCGCUUCAUACUGCAUGGCUUGAGGGAGACAGGGGUAAGCGGAACUGAUGGUGGAGCGGUGAAAUGCGUUGAUAUCAUCAGGAACACCGGUGGCGAAAGCGGCUUACUGGGUCUCUUCUGACGCUGAGGCGCGAAAGCGUGGAGAGCAAACAGG
rnacentral:rRNA from 1 species